rnacentral:rRNA from 1 species
GACGAACGCUGGCGGCGUGCUUAACACAUGCAAGUCGAACGGUAAGGCCCUUCGGGGUACACGAGUGGCGAACGGGUGAGUAACACGUGGGUGAUCUGCCCUGCACUUCGGGAUAAGCCUGGGAAACUGGGUCUAAUACCGGAUAGGACCCUGGGAUGCAUGUCCUGGGGUGGAAAGCUUUUGCGGUGUGGGAUGGGCCCGCGGCCUAUCAGCUUGGUGGUGGGGGGAUGGCCUACCAAGGCGACGACGGGUAGCCGGCCUGAGAGGGUGACCGGCCACACGGGGAGUGGGAGACGGCCCAGACUCCUACGGGAGGCAACAGUGGGGAAUAUUGCACAAUGGGCGCAAGCCUGAUGCCGCGACGCCGCGUGAGGGAUGACGGCCUUCGGGUUGUAAACCUCUUUCAGCACCGACGAAGCGCAAGUGACGGUAGGUGCAGAAGAAGGACCGGCCAACUACGUGCCAGCAGCCGCCGUAA